CACACGACUCUCGGCAACGGAUAUCUCGGCUCUCGCAUCGAUGAAGGACGCAGCA
rnacentral:rRNA from 1 species